rnacentral:rRNA from 1 species
UACAGAGGGUGCGAGCGUUGUCCGGAAUCACUGGGCGUAAAGGGCGCGUAGGCGGUCUGCUAAGCGUGUGGUGAAAGCUCGGGGCUCAACCCCGAGUCGGCCGUGCGAACUGGUGGACUCGAGCACGUCAGAGGCAGGCGGAAUUCCGGGUGUAGCGGUGGAAUGCGUAGAGAUCGGGAGGAACACCGGUGGCGAAGGCGGGUCUCUGGGCAAUUCCUGACGCUGAGGCGCGAAAGCGUGGGGAGCGAACGGG